rnacentral:rRNA from 1 species
UACGGGAGGCAGCAGUGAGGAAUAUUGGUCAAUGGCCGAGAGGCUGAACCAGCCAUGCCGCGUGCGGGAGGACGGCCCUAUGGGUUGUAAACCGCUUUUGUUGGGGAGCAAUAAGGGUCACGCGUGCCCUGAUGAGAGUACCCAGCGAAUAAGCAUCGGCUAACUCCGUGCCAGCAGCCGCGGUAAU